rnacentral:lncRNA from 1 species
ACCUAAGCCUAAAUAUAAUUGAGCUAUGUGAAAGGCGUUUCAAAUUUGUUUGAACCAUGGGAAUGUGUAGAUUAGAUUUUGGUUGUAAUUUGAUUUGAUCAAAUGUUGUAAAAAGGGCAUAAGUCCUUCUUUACUUUAAGGUAAUUUGUUUUAUGCAAAUGUUGUAAUGAGCAUAAGCUCAUCCUUUACUUUGAAGUAUUUCUUUCUUGCUUUAUAUGAUAUGCAUGAAAAUGAAGUAAUUGGGUCCAACGCCCCUAUGACAACACGCCUUAAUGUGAUUAAACGCGUAACUAAAAUCAAUCUCCAUCCCUAGACCGAGAUUCAACACAAGGCUCGUGUUGAAUCUAAACAAAGGUUCAUAGUCAUCCUAAGGCCCUAAGGCAACUAUAUAGUCCAUCAAAUGAAUGCAAACCUUAUGUUAGUAGUAACAUAU